GUAUUAGGAUAGUGCUUAAGCCGUUAAUCGGUCGUACGCCCGUUACAUAUAGAGCUGUUUUUGAAAAUAUAGAUGAUUUUAUCAUUACUAUCAAAUUUUAAACAAGAGAUUAUUAUUGACUGUCUGAUUGUAUUUGUUAUAUGAUACAGUAUUAUCAAGUCAUAACUGUCAGAAUAAUCUGGGUGACUGAACUCCUCAGAUAUCUGAGAUAUUCCGAAUGGCUGAGUCACUGAGCCACUGAGAAUAUUCUGAAUAUUUGAGGGGGUUGAGUUAUAACCUGCCUAACCCAGACCCCUGAUACCUAGUGUUAGAUGUUCUCCGCAUGCCCUAUCCCACGUGACCUCCACACACAUAUUAGUUCGCUAGUUAGCCAUUCAUAAUAAGUUAAUAAUAACAAGAGGAUAAUGUUGGGGGG
rnacentral:sRNA from 1 species